rnacentral:rRNA from 1 species
GACGAACGCUGGCGGCGUGCCUAAUACAUGCAAGUAGAACGCUGAAGAGAGGAGCUUGCUCUUCUUGGAUGAGUUGCGAACGGGUGAGUAACGCGUAGGUAACCUGCCUUGCAGCGGGGGAUAACUAUUGGAAACGAUAGCUAAUACCGCAUAACAAUGGAUGACACAUGUCAUUUAUUUGAAAGGGGCAAUUGCUCCACUACAAGAUGGACCUGCGUUGUAUUAGCUAGUAGGUGAGGUAAUGGCUCACCUAGGCGACGAUACAUAGCCGACCUGAGAGGGUGAUCGGCCACACUGGGACUGAGACACGGCCCAGACUCCUACGGGAGGCAGCAGUAGGGAAUCUUCGGCAAUGGGGGCAACCCUGACCGAGCAACGCCGCGGGAGUGAAGAAGGUUUUCGGAUCGUAAAGCUCUGUUGUAAGUCAAGAACGGGUGUGAGAGUGGAAAGUUCACACUGUGACGGUAGCUUACCAGAAAGGGACGGCUAACUACGUG